rnacentral:sRNA from 1 species
GUCAUCAAUCAGUAGGUCCCUUCCACAUUAAGAACUAAGGGUCAAAGAGAAGUAUAAGACAAUGUCUUUAUUUGUAAGUUAUUUACACUCUAGAUAUCAAACAAAAUGUAACUCACAUGAAGUGCUUCAAUGCUGAAUAGUGAGGAACGCACAGCGGAAACAUAUUCUUGCAGCCCAUCAGAUCAUCCACAGUUACACGGAAAGCAUGGUUCAAAAGAGAUUAACUGAGAGAGAGCAAGAUGAGGCCUCAAAUGCUGCCAUGUUACUUGAGAAAGAAACUCAAAAUGAGAACAACAGCUAAGAUUGUGAUUUUUUUUUAAAAAAGAAGCUGUAUGAAUCAUCAUAAAGAAUUCCAAUAGUCUGCACUUCUCCCAAGGUGUGCACUGCUCAUAAACUUGCCAGUGUGUGAUUCAUGAGAAAGGAGAUUUAUUUUCCUUAAACAUCCAAUAAUUUAAAAUGAUUUUCAAUAAUAAUAAUCAAAUGAAAAAGCUUCAUUCUCUUCAAUGUCUUCUAGAUGCCCUGCUUAAAGAGAACAUUUUCUUAUAUCUCAUUUCAAUAUUUUGUUAACUAUGAGGAUGUGCUGGUUUGUUGAAUCAAACAAAAGGAAAUGUUGUGGAAUAUUUUUCCAAGUAGUUUUAGUUCACUAUUCACAGGACAUUGGCAUUAUCUAUUAAGGCUGAAAAUGUGCAUAUUCCAUGACUCAGGAUUUUAUCUCCUAGAUAUAUAUUCAACAGAAAUGCAUGAGUAUGUGCACCAACAGGCAUGACAAAAAUAUUUAUAGUAGUGGUGUUCACAAUAGUCCCAAACUGGAAACGCAAGUGUCCAUCUCCAUCGGAACAGAAAACUAUACUUUGGUCUACUUCUACAGUGGCACAUCAACCCACCUUUGAGCUUUAGAUCUAAGAAGUGUGUUCAUGCAACAGCCAUAGAGAUGGUGCUAUUGAAAGGC